rnacentral:rRNA from 1 species
UACGGGGGGGGCAAGCGUUGUUCGGAAUUACUGGGCGUAAAGGGCUUGUAGGUGGCCAACUAAGUCAGACGUGAAAUCCCUCGGCUUAACCGGGGAACUGCGUCUGAUACUGGAUGGCUUGAGUGUGGGAGAGGGAUGCGGAAUUCCAGGUGUAGCGGUGAAAUGCGUAGAUAUCUGGAGGAACACCGGCGGCGAAGGCGGCAUCCUGGACCAUUACUGACACUGAAAAGCGAAAGCCAGGGGAGCAAACGGG